CUUUGAAUCACUACAUCAGGGGUGGAGAAUGUCUGGCCCGCAGGUUGAUUAAGGCCUGAGAAAUCAUUUGGUCUGGCCCUGCCAAGGCAUUAGGGGUGAGUUAUUUAAAUGUUUGGCCAAAUAUAGCAGGCUAAUUUUUGAGCUGAUAAUUUUGUAUGGCCC